rnacentral:rRNA from 1 species
AUUGAACGCUGGCGGCAGGCCUAACACAUGCAAGUCGAGCGAAUGAGGGAAGCUUGCUUCCCGAUUUAGCGGCGGACGGGUGAGUAAUGCAUCGGAACGUGCCCAACAGUGGGGGAUAGCCCGGCGAAAGCCGGAUUAAUACUGCAUACGACCUGAGGGUGAAAGCGGGGGACGGCAAGACCUCGCGCUGAUGGAGCGGCCGAUGUCAGAUUAGGUAGUUGGUGAGGUAAAGGCCUACCAAGCCGACGAUCUGUAGCUGGUCUGAGAGGACGACCAGCCACACUGGGACUGAGACACGGCCCAGACUCCUACGGGAGGCAGCAGUGGGGAAUUUUGGACAAUGGGGGAAACCCUGAUCCAGCCAUGCCGCGUGCGGGAAGAAGGCCUUCGGGUUGUAAACCGCUUUUGUCGGGGAAGAAAUCCUUCGAGCUAAUACCUUGAGGGGAUGACGGUACCCGAAGAAUAAGCACCGGCUAACUACGUGCCAGCCGCCGCGGUAAAAC